GAGGGGUGUGAGAAGCCCGUCAGGAAGCAGCCUGGGACCCUGACUUUGCAGACAGAGCGCCCCUCCUUAGGGAAGAGCCGACCCAGCUGGAGGCCGGGAUGGAGGCCGAGACUGAGGGGGGGCUUGAGGCCUGUGAGGACCCCAAUGCGGCUCGGCACACGGGCCCAGGACGCUGUCUAGGGACCCCACUUUGAGUAGCAAGGGCCUUAUCCCCAGACAGAAAUGGGAGUGACUGACAGACUCAAGUGCCUCUUUACUCCAUAACAGUGGUUGUUUAACAUCAUCAUCGUUUCUCAACUCAUUAUGAACUCAUAAUGGUUUGACAAUAAGCCUUACUGGCGUCUCUUCUUAAGUAAGCUCUACACCCAACGUGGGGCUUGAGCUCAACCCCAAGAUCAGGAGUCACACGCUCUACCGACUAAGCCGGCCACGGGCCCCAAGCCUUGCUGUUUUUUUUACGCAGAAUUAAAAUCUCUCUUUACCCUUGAGAAGUUGUUCUGUACCAAAAGGCAGAUGCUUGUUACAGGGCUGCCAGUGGGGCCUGUCUAAAAAUGGAAAUGUUCUCAGGCAUAGUCAGGAUGCACAGAAGACUUGAUCACCUAACCCUGUGUCACCUAACCUUGAAACACCCAAGAGGAAACCGCUGUACCCAGAAGUUAGAGGAAUGUGGAACAACUCCUGAGUUUAAAACAAACAAACAAACAAAAGAAUCCGUUUGGGGGGGCACCUGGGUGGCUCAGUCCGCUAAGCGUCCGACUUUUGCUUUCCGCUCAGGUCACGGCUUCAUGAUUUCGUGAGUUCGAGCCCCGCGUCGGGCUCUGUGCUGACAGUGCGGAGCCUGCCUGAGAUUCUUUCUCUCCCUCUCGCUCUGCCCCUUCCCUGCUCUUGCUCUCUCUUUCAAUAUAAAUAAAUAAACUUCAAAAAAAAAAAAUCUUUGGUUUGAAAAAAGGCCAACACCCUUCACUUCUAAGCUCCUUGACUCGUGAGAGCAGUUCUGCGAGUUGAGGCCGACUACGUUACGACAAAAACCUACCUGAGCGGCAUCCUCACCCAAAGUGGCCAAGCGGCUCCGCGCGGGAACUUUAGGGCCUGGCUCUCAGAAGGCCGCGUUUUCUUCCCACUGUGAUUGCAGAUCCCAGCGAAACCAACAAUGCGCAAGUUCCCGGUAGGGAAGGGAAUUGGAGGCGCAAGCCGAGCAGAGAGAAGCCAAUAGGAGAGGUCCAGAAAGCGGCCCAAAGGCAGACCCACGCACACCCAGCCAGGGUGGGCCACCACUGUCCCCACAGCCCUGCUCCGAAUGCGAUACGAGACCAGGAGUCUCUCUCUGGAAGGUGAUGGUUGACGUUUGCUGUCACGUGACCCAAACGCGGGCUAAGCGUGUGAGGGGCGGAGCUUCGGGCCAGGGCUGGAGGGAGGCUCCCCGGCCAAAGCCGAGAACGGCCGCACCGAGGUCGGGAGCCUCGCGCGCCCUUGGAGCUCUCUGCUUUUCCAUGCCCUCCUUUCUAAGCCUUGUCACCGAAGGGGAGCUGUUGCAAAAGACUGAGGCAUCCGAAACACUUUGUCUUCUGAGCUGUUGAAGAACGUUUGCAAACCCACCUCUUUUGAGCUGGAUGGAAGGUGCCUCCUUACGGUGUGGCCUUAAGCUUGAUAAAGAAUGACUUACUCUGGACUGCUGCAGUGACAGAGUAUCUAGGUGUGACAGGAAGUGCUCAAGACCAGAGACAAGAAUAUAAACAGUGGGCGUGAAGAGAUUCUGGGCAGCCAAGAACACAGGGUGGCAGCUUCUCUGAUUGCAAGUUCAACGGGGAAGCCAACGAAACCAAAGAGCAGGUGUGGGAUAAUGAAAGAACCUCGCACAUUCCGAGCCAUUCGAGUCACACAGCCUCAGAGAGGGAUCGACGACCUUGCAUUUUGCACCGAUACCCAGAGAAGGGGUUGUGACUUGCCUGGAGCCGCACAGCAAGAACACAUCGGUUACAACUCACCUUUGUACCUGGAGUCUUUCUGGAAAGGAGGAAAUGCCAGAUGAAUAUGGGAAAUCAAGUUGAGGCAAAGAAGCCACGGGGUUCAAUAUAAUACAGGCCAUUAAAGUAGCAAAAAAAAUGUCUAUGUACCUUCUGGCUCUUAAAUAUUCACUAUGGGAGGAUAGCACUCCAUCCAGCUAUUUGCCACACACCCCUUUUCUUUUUUAGAGACAUAAAUUCCAAAUUCCAUCUUUUAGACAACAAUCCGUUUGCUGUUUUGAUGACAGUGAUGGCGUAAGGUUGUGUCUCUGAAUGUCCUUCACCAACCUCAAAAAGAAAGAGCCAGGCUGUUGGCCAGAAGAGUCUCUGUUUCAUGUUACCUUUUGUGAUGGUG